rnacentral:rRNA from 1 species
UCGACGGACUUGAGAGAGCUUGCUCUCUCAGUUAGUGGCGGACGGGUGAGUAACACGUGAGCAACCUGCCUUUAAGAGUGGGAUAACGGUCGGAAACGACCGCUAAUACCGCAUAAUAUACAUGAAUCGCAUGGUUUGUGUAUCAAAGAUUUAUCGCUUAAAGAUGGGCUCGCGUCUGAUUAGCUGGUUGGUGAGGUAACGGCUCACCAAGGCGACGAUCAGUAGCCGUACUGAGAGGUAGAACGGCCACAUUGGGACUGAGACACGGCCCAGACUCCUACGGGAGGCAGCAGUGGGGAAUAUUGCACAAUGGAGGAAACUCUGAUGCAGCGAUGCCGCGUGAGGGAAGAAGGUUUUCGGAUUGUAAACCUCUGUCUUAAGGGACGAUAAUGACGGUACCUUAGGAGGAAGCUCCGGCUAACUACGUGCCAGCAGCCGCGGUAAUACGUAGGGAGCGAGCGUUGUCCGGAAUUACUGGGUGUAAAGGGAGUGUAGGCGGGAUGGUAAGUUAGGUGUGAAAUGCGGAGGCUCAACCUCCGAGCUGCACUUAAAACUGCUGUUCUUGAGUGAAGUAGAGGUUGGCGGAAUUCCCAGUGUAGCGGUGAAAUGCGUAGAUAUUGGGAGGAACAUCAGUGGCGAAGGCGGCCAACUGGGCUUUUACUGACGCUGAGGCUCNGAAGCGUGGGGAGCAAACAGGAUUAGAUACCCUGGUANUCCACGCUGUAAACGAUGAUUACUAGGUGUGGGGGGGGCUGACCCCUUUC